rnacentral:rRNA from 1 species
UACAGAGGUCUCAAGCGUUGUUCGGAUUCAUUGGGCGUAAAGAGCGUGUAGGCGGUCCGGUCAGUCGGUUGUGAAAGUCAAGGGCUCAACCCUUGAAUGCCGGCCGAUACUGCCGGGCUAGAGUCCGGAAGAGGUGAGUGGAAUUCCUGGUGUAGCGGUGAAAUGCGCAGAUAUCAGGAGGAACACCGAUGGCGAAGGCAGCUCACUGGGACGGUACUGACGCUGAGACGCGAAAGCGUGGGGAGCAAACAGG